UACGAAGGGGGCUAGCGUUGUUCGGAUUUACUGGGCGUAAAGCGCACGUAGGCGGUUCGUUAAGUCAGGGGUGAAAUCCUGGAGCUCAACUCCAGAACUGCCUUUGAUACUGGCGAUCUUGAGUCCGGAAGAGGUGAGUGGAACUCCUAGUGUAGAGGUGGAAUUCGUAGAUAUUAGGAAGAACACCAGUGGCGAAGGCGGCUUACUGGUCCAAGACUGACGCUGAGGUGCGAAAGCGUGGGGAGCAAACAGG
rnacentral:rRNA from 1 species